rnacentral:rRNA from 1 species
CCCUUAGAUGUUCUGAGCCGCACGCGUGCUACACUGAGUGGAUCAGCGGGUCAGGUUGCGCGAAAGCGUUUCCUAAUCUUGAAAUCCGCUCGUGAUGGGGAUUGACGGUUGCAAUUUUCUGUCAUGAACGAGGAAUACCUUGUAAGCGCGGGUCAUCAUCCCGCGCUGAAUACGUCCCUGCCCUUUGUACACACCGCCCGUCGCUCCUACCGAUUGAGUGGUCCGGUGAGGCUUUGGGAUCUGAGCGGAAAGAGCGUUUCGCUCGUUCUGCCCGGAAAACUCAGUCGAACCUUAUCAUUUAGAGGAAGGAGAAGUCGUAACA